rnacentral:rRNA from 1 species
CGGGUGCGUAACACGUGAGCAACCUUCCGAAAUAUGGGGGAUAGCCGGCCUAACGGCCGAGUAAUACCGCAUACGCUCUCGAUGAGGCAUUUCAUUGAGAGGAAACCUACGGGGUAUUUUGAGGGGCUCGCGGCCUAUCAGCUAGUUGGCGAGGUAACGGCUCACCAAGGCAACGACGGGUAGCUGGUCUGAGAGGAUGGCCAGCCACAUUGGGACUGAGAUACGGCCCAA